GCCCGGAUGGCGAAAUUGGCAGACGCGCUAGCUUCAGGAGCUAGUGAUCGCAAGGUCAUGGGGGUUCAAGUCCCCCUUCGGGCACGA
rnacentral:tRNA from 1 species